AUAGGGUGAGGCAUAUAGUUCACACCUCUGAUUGCUGUGAAUGUUUGGCUGGAGACAGUUUUCUGCAAGGCUGGAUAUGGUAGGAGAGUAGAUACUUGGAAGGCAGAGUCUCAGCAGAAAUGACUAGAAAUAUUUUUAAGCAUAGACAAAGUUUAGAUUUUCUACAGAACAGUAAAGAUGUUGAGAAAAAUGCCCUAAAAGCAAAGGCUCUGUGAUUCUUUUCAGAUCCCUCCCAAGUCCUGCUGUCCAGGAGGACACUCAAAAAUGUAUUCUUUGUUGGAAUGGCUACUUCCCGUUUCCCUGGAGCAGUGGGAGUGACUGACAUCACCGUUGGCCAAAUGUGUCGACUGGAAUCAUGUGACUAGACAUGCUGUCAGUUCAGACGUUUAGAAAGAGAUUUGAUGCACAGAAUAAAGGUGUAAUAUUUGUCAGAACCCAACGUUGUGCUUUUUUUCCAAAGAAGGAAAAACCCCGGAAAACACAUUGUGGUCUAGGAUAUCUUGGUCUUCGAAAGGUUUUUAAAAACCACAUUCUAUACAAUAACAAUGGUUUUUGUUUAAAAAAGAAGUCUUUACAAGUCCUAACACAUAAUAUGUAAUUUGGGGGGACGAUAAGGUGUUAUUUCCAAAGUCACUGAAACCUUUUAAUUUUUCUUACAUUUCAUAACUUUGAAACAAAUAGCCAUGAGAACUUGCUGACCAAAUUGCUGCUUGUUUUCUUAGUUCAAGUAGUUAUAUAGGGCUUUCUCAUGUAAGUAAAUGUUAUGAAUGGAAGUAGUUCCCAGUUGGGUC